GAUGAACGCUGGCGGCGUGCCUAAUACAUGCAAGUCGAGCGAACAGACGAGGAGCUUGCUCCUCUGACGUUAGCGGCGGACGGGUGAGUAACACGUGGAUAACCUACCUAUAAGACUGGGAUAACUUCGGGAAACCGGAGCUAAUACCGGAUAAUAUAUUGAACCGCAUGGUUCAAUAGUGAAAGACGGUUUUGCUGUCACUUAUAGAUGGAUCCGCGCCGCAUUAGCUAGUUGGUAAGGUAACGGCUUACCAAGGCGACGAUGCGUAGCCGACCUGAGAGGUGGAUGGGGCACACGGGAACGGAGACCCGGUCCAGACGCAGUGGGGAGGGAGCAGUGGGGAAUGUUUCGCAAGGGGCGAAAGAUUGACGGAGCAACGCCGCGUGAAUGAUGAAGGUCUUCGGAUCGUAAGACUGUGUUAUUAGGGAAGAACAAAUGUGUAAGUAACUAUGCACGUCUUGACGGUACCUAAUCAGAAAGACACGGAUAACUACGUG
rnacentral:rRNA from 1 species